rnacentral:lncRNA from 1 species
GCUGGAGUGCAGUGGUGUGAUCUUGGCUCGCUGCAACCUCUGCCUCCCGGGUUCAAGUGAUUCUCAUGCCUCAGCCUCCCGAGUAGCUGGGAUUAUAGGCACCUGCCACCAUUCCCGGCAGGCUGGCAGCAGACAAACGAUGCAGGCAGGCAGUGAGACUCAGAUUGGGUCCUCCUGUCGGAACAGCUGGGAUAUGAUGUCCAUGCCCUCUCCCAGGACCCAGGUGGAACUUGAAUACUGAUUCAUCAUACUCACUUUUCAUUUGGAGAGUGAAUUUUGGACUGAAAUAAAGGGAGAUGUUCAGCCUCAGGUGUAGAAGCAGUGAGACAAUUUCCCACCACGGAGGAAGAUGAAGAGCAGGAGAGGAGAGGCUGGCGGCUCCCAGGAGCAGAUCACCUGCCCCCACUGCAAGGCCCCCGUGUGCUCAAUAAACUGACCCUUGC